CCUCUUUAAUAAUCCUUAAACUUGACUUUUCUUUUUCUAGGGUCCAGAGUUACUGAGCAAGUAUGUUGGAGAGUCUGAGAGAGCCGUGAGAGAGGUGUUUAGGAAGGCGCGGGCCGUCGCUCCGUCCAUCGUCUUCUUUGAUGAGAUCGACGCUCUCGCCAGUGAGAGAGGAAGCUCCUCAGGCUCCGGCGGUGUCGGCGACCGCGUCCUCGCUCAGCUCCUGACAGAGAUGGACGGCAUCGAGCAGCUCCGAGACGUCACCGUGUUGGCCGCCACCAACCGACCCGACAUGAUCG